GACGAACGCUGGCGGCGUGCUUAACACAUGCAAGUCGAACGGAAAGGCCCUGCUUUUGUGGGGUGCUCGAGUGGCGAACGGGUGAGUAACACGUGAGUAACCUGCCCUUGACUUUGGGAUAACUUCAGGAAACUGGGGCUAAUGCCGGAUAGGAGCUCCUGCUGCAUGGUGGGGGUUGGAAAGUUUCGGCGGUUGGGGAUGGACUCGCGGCUUAUCAGCUUGUUGGUGGGGUAGUGGCUUACCAAGGCUUUGACGGGUAGCCGGCCUGAGAGGGUGACCGGCCACAUUGGGACUGAGAUACGGCCCAGACUCCUACGGGAGGCAGCAGUGGGGAAUAUUGCACAAUGGACGGAAGCCUGAUGCAGCAACGCCGCGUGCGGGAUGACGGCCUUCGGGUUGUAAACCGCUUUCGCCUGUGACGAAGCGUGAGUGACGGUAAUGGGUAAAGAAGCACCGGCUAACUACGUG
rnacentral:rRNA from 1 species